UACGAAGGGGGCUAGCGUUGCUCGGAUUGACUGGGCGUAAAGGGCGCGUAGGCGGUUUGUACAGUCAGACGUGAAAUUCCUGGGCUCAACCUGGGGGCUGCGUUUGAUACGUAUGGACUUUGAGUUCGGAAGAGGGUCGUGGAAUUCCCAGUGUAGAGGUGAAAUUCGUAGAUAUUGGGUGGAACACCGGUGGCGAAGGCGGCUCACUGGUCCGGUUCUGACGCUGAGGCGCGAAAGCGUGGGGAGCAAACAGG
rnacentral:rRNA from 1 species